GGGAUGUGUGGGAAGUUUGUGAGAGGGUGGAGCUGUGUGUGGGGGGCAUAGGGUAUGUUGGGGCGUUUUGUGUGGCAUUUGUAGGGUGUGGGUGUGUGGCUCUGGAACACAGUCCUUUCUUGCAGUCAGUGCAGGCAACACUGGGGGGGUGGUAUGUGUGUGUGUUGGUGUGUGGUUUGUGGGGCGUGAGGAAGGUGAGAGGACUAUGGGGAGCCCCUGGGAGCCCCCUCCCACACACACACACACCCACACACACACACACACACACACGGCGUAGAAGCAGGCGGGAGCACUGGUGGUUGGCUCUGGCCAGAGCUACACAUCACAGCGAGGAGCAGAGAAAGCAACAGGCUCCAGCACCUGGGGCUUCCCUCCUGUGCCCUGCCAGUGCGGGUAGAACUGGGGAAACAAAUGGCCUGGAGGGGGGCUGUUCUCUUUACAGCCUGGCCACAGCCAGGUACCAGGACCAAGCACAGGGCCCUCCCUGCUGCUGCUGCCCCCACUGCCUGCCAGCGCUGCACACCAUGGGGAGGAGUGGGGGGAGGGAUCCCCAUGCCCCUCCCUCCUCACAUCCACACCCACACCCUGCCCACCCGAGCUCCGUGCUGCUCCGACACGCUCUGCACUGCAGCCAGCCCCAGCCCUAGCCCUAUGCUCCUGCCCAGCUGAAGCCCUGCCCCCCGCUUCACUACCUGCUGCCCUGUGGGAGCAGCCCUGCCCCAUGUUAGUAGGGCCAGCUCUUCAGCCCAUGAGUGUGGGAGUGAGGCAUACUAGGAUAUGUUGGAGGCAGGUGUAGGAGCCUCGCUCCCACCCUCAUGGGCGGAAGGGCUGGGUGGGGCACAACUCGUUGGGGGCCGGAUGAAAGUGCCUGGCAGGCUGCAUCUGGCCCCGAGGCCCUAUUUUGCCCACCCCGGUGUAUAAGCUAGUGACAUCCAUGCUGGCUAGGAGGGUAUUGCUGGGAAGGUGGUCUAUGUUUUUGAGUUUUUGCAGGAAGUCUGUUGUAUCUUGGAUGAAACUGGGGUGUUCGUAGUGCGCUGGGACCCACGGUCCCCGAGCAGCGGCAACGAGGACUCUCGCAGAGAACGCGCGGCUCAGCUGCGCCCCGAAAGCCCAGUUCAAACGAAACGGAGGAGCCCGGUCCCGCUACACACGCCUUCAAAGCGAUACAAAAGAGGCCAGCAUGGCCCGAGCCACCCGCUCCUCAACGCAGAUACCCGCACUGAGCCGGACCCUGGAGAGACGCCCGGGCCUCACCUUCGCGGGGCGGAGCGGGAAGUGCCCAAGUCUCGCCCUGCCCCGGUCACCAGCCCGGGACAGGAGGACGGGCGGGGCCGGCGGCGGGAUCGGGUUUCACAUCCUGCAGCGCCGCCAGGCCCAGGGGUGGGUGCAGCCGGCCCGCGGGGCCCGCCAGGGACAUGGCGCAGAGAGAGCAGGAUGUGGACCAAUGGCUUGAAGUUCCAGCAAAGUAGGUUUAGACUCAAUGUCAGUAAAACAUUCUUUGCUGUUACAGCAGUGAGGCAGUGGAAUAGAUUGCCUAGGGAAGUUGCAGUCUUCAUCACUGGAGUGUGUUCAGGAAGAAGCUGGAUAAGCAUAGUGUUGAGCUCCCAUUUUCUCCAUCCAUCUCACGAUGAAAAUCAAGCUCAGAUUGGGUGGAGAUCAUUGAGCCUCGAUCUCGUGAGCGAAUGUAUGUCAACUUGACAACAGGAGAGUGUGGCUGGGAACCCCCUCCUAAUCUGAAAGUUCGCCAGUCAGAUCAGAAACAGUGGUGGGAACUCUUUGACCAAAGCAACAACCGCUUCUACUACUACAAUGCCAUCACCCAGCAGACAGUGUGGCACCGGCCCCAAGACUGUGACAUUGUGCCACUGGCUCAGCUCCAAGCCAUGAAACAGAAUUCUCAGUCUGACUCCAGAGAACAUCAGCAUAGAGUCACCUUGAGUAGUGAUGGCAGAAACACCCACAUCCAAAUGCCCUUGCUGCAAGAAAUGGACAGGGUUAAGGAUAGCAGUACAAAGAAGAGACCGGACUCUGGAAGAGAAACUACUGCCCACUGGCAGCCUUUGCCAGGCACUAAAUCAGCCACAUUGGUCAAAGUCAGCAGUUUAAAACAGGUGCAAGCUUCAUCAAAUAAUUCAUUUCAAGCCCAGAACACUCCAGAAACCAGAAGUCAGAAAUCUCUACUUACAAAACCAGUCACACAUGCCCAGACUCAAUUCACAGCCCAGAAUCCAGCUGCUGUGAAACCAACAUCGCCAGCAGAAAGGAAACGGUCUAUACAGAUUAAAAAGACUGAGAAUGGUGGAUUUUGUUUAGUACUAACAAAUGGACCUACUUCUCAGUCUCCUCCAGUGGGUCAAACAGGGACACCAGAGCUUUUGUCUCCCAAGUUUUCUUCUCCAGCACCAAUAUAUGAUGACCCAUCACUAGAUUCCUCAAUUUAUGAUGAGCCUCCUGUAGAUAUGGACACUGAGAAUGCAAAUGUGGAUGGAAUGUCUUCACAAAUGUCACAAAGCAGUAGCUUAAAAAAACAUCUCCAACCAAUAAAAUUAUUGCAGCACCCUGGUAUACCACAGCAUCAGGCUGUAAAUAAACAGGUGAAAAAUCUUUCUACCUCUGAAUACAGCCCUGCUGGGAGAGAGUACAUUAAGUAUAUGGUCAAUGUUGACCAGUCUUCCAAGCAUUCUCACCCUCUUUGUGGGGAAGCUGAUGGCUCUACUAAACUGCAGUUCUGUCAGCUUACUUCAAAGGACAGCUUCAAACAGUCUUGGAGGAUUUUGGAAGCAAAUGUUCUCAGGAAUAUUGAGGCCCACCACAGUUGGCAGAACAACCUUCAAACUCAAGAGUUUCUAACUGUCAUAAGUCAACAAGAUUCUGGCUACUCAACAGGGCCUUCUCCAAGUUUGAGAAAGAGGAAAGAAAAGAGUCAACUUGCAGGGCAGAGAAGACCUGGUUCUCUGGGCAGUAUCCGUGAACUCAGUGUUUUGAAUGAUAAGUUGAUUGCAGAGAUGCGUGCUGUGGUAGGCAGAUCUGCAGCCUGCAGAGGAAGCAAAGCAAGUCUAGAUGCAGAAGUGUUGGAGAACACCCUCUCAGCAGAAAGUAGUCAAGUUAGGUUUCAGUCAGACCAGUUAAAAAAAGGGGUCAUCCGGAACUCAAGAGACAAUAUAACUUCUAGCAACAGGUCUUUAGGUAGACAGGGGAUGGAGAGUAAGGGAAGCUUCCCUAAUGAUCCAGCCAUGCAGCAGGACACAGUAAGACAGAAGAGGACUUAUGAAAAAAUGGACUCCCUAGAAAAGACUGUGACCAGCCAGACAAGUUUGGUUUCAUCAAAUACUACAGGAACCUCCUCUCAGCCUGAAACAAUAGAAUCAAACUCCAAGCAAGAGAACAGCGGGCAGCCUGACAGCUGUAUGGGAUACCAGUUUCCCUGCAGUGCAUUACCAGAGCCCAUCCCUCAAAGUAGCAUGGUAGACUGGGCUUCCAAAAACCUCAAUAUGCACACUCAAGGCAUCUUCCGCCGCAGGAUCUCCAUUUCCAACAUGCUUUCCUGGAGUGGGGACUCCAUCAAAAAGCCAAUGCUGAUUACAAGCAACCGCACCAUCAAAAAGGAAGCAUGUGAGAUGUUUAAGUUGGUGCAGAUCUACAUGGGAGACCGCCAGACACACAUGGACCACAAUCAUGUGGCUUUAGUCACAAUUACCAAGUGCUGGAGCAUACAGGGCUUACGGGAUGAGUUGUACAUACAGCUAAUUAGGCAGACUACAGACAAUACGUGUUACCAAAGUCUGGCAUGGGGCUGGGAACUCAUGGCCAUUAGUCUAGCCUUUUUCUCGCCAUCACCCAAAUUCCAGUCUUACCUGGAAGGUUAUAUUUAUUGCCACCUCGACAGUGAUCGAUACAUUGUGCAGCGCAUCAAGAAACUCUUGGAUCUCAAAAACAAGAAGAACUCAAAAUCCAGGAAAAAGAGGAAGCAAAACACAAAUGAUGAAGGUUUGCCCAUUAGUACAUAUGCCAGAUAUUGCUGUCGGAAACUGCAGAAGGUGGCAGUCACUGGAGGCAAGAAGGGCCUCCAAAAACCAACAAUAGAGGAAAUAACACAUGCCAGAAAUACUAUUGUGACACCUUCACUCUUUGGCAGCUCCCUGGAAGAAAUCAUGUUACGGCAGAAGGAGAUAUAUCCAGGUAACAAGCUGCCCUGGAUACAAACACAGCUAUCUCAGCAAGUCCUGGCGCUGGGUGGAGAACAGACUGAAGGAAUAUUCAGAGUACCUGGUGACAUUGAUGAAGUCAAUGCAUUGAAACUGCAAGUGGAUCAAUGGAGCAUUCCCAGCAAUUGUAGUGACCCCAGUAUACCAGCCUCCCUGCUGAAGCUGUGGUAUCGGGAGCUGGAGGAACCCCUGAUACCACAGCAGUUCUACGAAGAGUGCAUUGGCAGCUAUGAGAACCCUGAUGCUGCUGUGACAGUGGUACAGUUUUUGCCAGAUCUCAACAAAUUCGUCCUGUAUUACCUCAUACACUUCCUGCAGAUUUUUGCUCAGCCAUAUAAUGUGGGCAAAACGAAGAUGGAUGUCAAUAAUUUGGCCAUGGUGAUGGCCCCCAACUGCCUGCGCUGUCAGUCUGACGACCCCCAGGUCAUCUUUGAAAACACCCGUAAGGAGAUGUCCUUCCUGCGCAUGCUGAUUGUGCACUUGGACACUAGUUUCAUUGAAGGGAUGGUGUGAGCGACCGGCUCUCCUGGGACUAUGUUCCAUGCCAUCAGAGACAGCAGGGGGGUCCAGAAGCUGCAUGUGGGGGAGAGGCACUAGCUGGACACUCAGGGUUACUGCCACACUCAGCUGGGGCUCUCUAUAUGCACUGCCUCUGACAGUGGCGGAUGCAAAACCAGACCCUGCUGCUGGACCGUUGGUCACUGUGGUGGAGGAGAAGCAUGCGGACUUGCAGUUCUAGCACGCUGAGGACAUCUCGCGCAAGCAGGACAGGGACUGGGAGGACCAGGCAUUCCAGGAGAGGCUCCUGGCCCUCAAGGAGAGGCACAUUGCCCUCCUCAAAAGGAUGUUGGAGGCCUAGGAGUGGCAGGCCGUCAUGGUGGCCAGAGCAGUGGAGGCCACAGAGGAGGACUGAUGGGUGCUGGACACCAUCCUGGGCCUGGUGGUCACCUUUGUGCCACCCACUGCCCAGCCUCUGUCCUUGGUCCCCAGGAUCCACCCCGUAGACACCUCCACACCACUGUCCCCCACCCCAGAAGGGCACACAGAGCACAAUGUAUGUAGUGUUUGCACAAGGAAGAGGGUGAUUUAUUGGGGGUGGGGUUGGUGGUGGAGUCUGUGUUUGGGGAGGGAGGGUGCAAUGGGGUCUGUGUAUGUGGAGGGAAAUAAAAACUUUUGCU